AAAUAUUGUCAACAUGUAAUCUGCCCCUCAGUUGCUCUGGCCGCACUGCCUGCACUCGGGAGCCAAGUAUGGUCAGUGGCUAUCCUACCGGACAUCCCAGGCCUACUGUACAAGCAUUCCAGUAAAAGGGAAAAAAAGAAGAUAAAGCAUAAGAACCCACAGGACAAGGCCUGGAGGUGGAAAUAUCAGGUAAGAGCUAUUUUAAUAUAUUGACCACCUAUUAUUUGUCAGGCCCAGUGCUAGAUAUUGAAGACAUAGUAAGGGCUUGGAUCGCAGAACUGACAACAGUAAUGGGAAGGAGGGGGAAGGACUGACGGAAGUGUUUAGCUCAUAGAAUGAUUGCCAUGGCAACAGGAGCCUGAAUCAUCACUAUGGAGACAAAGUGCUUGAAAUUAUGACUGGAGGGAUAGUGUGACUCUGUUGGUGAGGAUUUUGAAAAAGGUAAAUAGGUAUGUUACAGAUGUUUCAAAAUGACACUGUUUCUCUCAGUAGAGUUUAUUGGCUUUUUUUCCCCAGUGUGUUAUUUCAGGGAGGCUAGAGAUAAAGUAGUUCAAAGAUAACAUGGAUUGUAAUAAGCACAAGCUUUAUUUGGUCAUUGCUAGUCAUGAACGAACCAAGCCAGGGAACAGCCUUUUAUUCAAAGAAGUUACUAUCUAAUAGGAUACGUAUUACAUAUAAAGUGUCCUGAUGUCUCAGAGCUCUGAUCCCGAGGAUACCUUGCUGGGAGAGAACGCUCAUACACUUUCUUCCCUGCAGCAACCAGAAGAUGUCUAGCCAACACUGAAGGCCAAAGAGAAACUUACGUAUGGUUGGGAAUGGGGCUUUGUUUUAGUGGGAAACUGGAGUAGGGCUUGAAGUAUUAGAUUAUAGCAACAUGUGGUAGGCUUCGCCCACUCAGCAGUACAGGUUAUUAUCCAUGUCUGAAUAAUAAUGCCUCUUUGCCUGUCUCUCCAACCCCUUCAUGUACUCCAGCCUCACUUUCAAUGGUGAUGGGGACUUGGGCAGGCUCCAGGGCAGAGGAAUUCAUACAGGUGCUCGUCAGUCUCUGACGCCAUGAUAUUUCUGCCAUUGCUGGCUCUGGA
rnacentral:lncRNA from 1 species